GCACGUAGUUAGCCGGAGCUUAUUCGCCAGGUACCGUCCUAAGUCUUUCCUGGCAAAAGGAGUUUACAGACCUAGAUCCUUCGUCCUCCACGCGGCGUCGCUGCAUCAGGGUUGCCCCCAUUGUGCAAGAUUCCCAACUGCUGCCACCCGUAGGUGUGUGGGCCGUGUCUCAGUCCCACUCGGGGGGAUCAUCCUCUCAGACCCCCUACCCGUCGUAGCCUUGGUGGGCCGUUACCCCGCCAACUAGCUGAUAGGCCGUAAGCCGCUCCCGGAGCGAAAAACCGUUUAAUCACCAAGAGAUGCCUCUCGGUGGCCACAUCCGGUAUUGCCCGGUCUUUCGACCGUAUAUCCCAGACUCCGGGGCACGUUGCUUACGUGUUACUCCGCCGUUCGCCACUAGGCAUUGCUGCCUCGUUCGACUUGCAUGUUUUAGGCACGCCGCCAGCGUUCGUC
rnacentral:rRNA from 1 species